CUGGUAUUCGACAACUGGUCACAACUUCAACCUACCGUAACGAGGAAACAAACCAUUGUUAGUAAAAGAGAAUCGAAAUCGGGUCCCUUGAACAAAUGAUUUUACAACAGAUUUUUUUCAGUACUACAGUGAAAACGAUUUGCACGCCCUAGUUGUUAUCGUUUCAAUACUAAAUAACGGUGAAUGCCGUAAAUAUAUUACAGUCGUUCACGUACAGACACAUAUAAGACAGUGACGCAUCUUUUGCGUCAUUCAUUAUUUGCUCAAAAGAUCUGGCACCAUACCAUAAACGUCUUGGAAAGAAAUUGAUCUUAAUAAGUACGCAGAAGGAUUGCUGGGGAAAUAAAGUCACACGAUAAAGUAAAAUAAUAAAAAUAAUCGUGUAAAAAUGAUCUGAGGAUAAAUAUCGAUGCAAAACGUAUCGUCAAUAUCAGUCUCGUUUUCCAUCAAUAUCGGUGAUACUUAUUCAAGAGACACAGGCAUUGAUCCGAAAAAGUUCGUCCAGGAUAAUUACUCGGUUAUUAAAUAAGAAUGGAUCGGUGUACGUGCGAUAAACGCCUUAUCCUAACGAGGCGGUUACAAAUUAGCGGAUUCUAACGUAAUGCGAUUAUACCCGGGC